rnacentral:rRNA from 1 species
AAACUUUCAACAACGGAUCUCUUGGUUCUGGCAUCGAUGAAGAACGCAGCGAAAUGCGAUAAGUAAUGUGAAUUGCAGAAUUCAGUGAAUCAUCGAAUCUUUGAACGCACAUUGCGCCCUUUGGUAUUCCAAAGGGCAUGCCUGUUCGAGCGUCAUUU